rnacentral:hammerhead_ribozyme from 1 species
GUACUGCUGGAGAGUCCCUGACUAGGACGAAACAGCUGUCAAGUAC